GAGCAUCUUCAUAUAUCAUUCAUAUCACUGCUGCUGCCCUGCUAUACAAAGACUUCCAAUUCCCUUCGGAGGGACCCGGAGCAUGGAAAAGAGCACCAUUUGAAGUAAGCACCUGUUUUAGUGACAUUCCCUAUUGUGAGCUUAAGAGGAGGUUAAUCCUGAAUAUCCUCAUCAUGAGUUUGGCAGCUAGCAAGCAGAGCAGUUAGUAGUACUACAUCAUACUACAACGCGUACAUGCAAGUACUGCUGUUGCGCUGCGUCCAUUGAGUCGCAGUUAGCCUUCGCAUAUCAAGUUUAGUAUACAACUUGAAUCAAUGAUAUAUAUCGUCCACGAA
rnacentral:sRNA from 1 species